AGCGAACGCUGGCGGCAGGCCUAACACAUGCAAGUCGAACGAACCCUUCGGGGUUAGUGGCGGACGGGUGAGUAACACGUGUGAACGUGCCUUUAGGUUCGGAAUAACUCAGGGAAACUUGUGCUAAUACCGAAUGUGCCCUUCGGGGGAAAGAUUUAUCGCCUUUAGAGCGGCCCGCGUCUGAUUAGCUAGGUGGUGAGGUAAAGGCUCACCAAGGCUACGAUCAGUAGCUGGUCUGAGAGGAUGACCAGCCACAUUGGGACUGAGACACGGCCCAAACUCCUACGGGAGGCAGCAGUGGGGAAUCUUGCGCAAUGGGCGAAAGCCUGACGCAGCCAUGCCGCGUGGAUGAUGAAGGUCUUAGGAUUGUAAAAUCCUUUCACCGGUGAAGAUAAUGACUGUAGCCGGAGAAGAAGCCCCGGCUAACUUCGUGCCAGCCGCCGCCGUAAAAC
rnacentral:rRNA from 1 species